UAGGGAAUCUUCCGCAAUGGGCGAAAGCCUGACGGAGCAACGCCGCGUGAGUGAUGAAGGUCUUCGGAUCGUAAAACUCUGUUAUUAGGGAAGAAAAAAGGUGAAAGAAAUUAUGCACGUCUUGAGGGUACCUAAUCAGAAAGCCACGCCUAACUACGUGCCAGCAGCCGCGGUAAUACGUAGGUGGCAAGCGUUAUCCGGAAUUAUUGGGCGUAAAGCGCGCGUAGGCGGUUUUUUAAGUCUGAUGUGAAAGCCCACGGCUCAACCGUGGAGGGUCAUUGGAAACUGGAAAACUUGAGUGCAGAAGAGGAAAGUGGAAUUCCAUGUGUAGCGGUGAAAUGCGCAGAGAUAUGGAGGAACACCAGUGGCGAAGGCGACUUUCUGGUCUGUAACUGACGCUGAUGUGCGAAAGCGUGGGGAUCAAACAGG
rnacentral:rRNA from 1 species